AAUAGAUACCCUGGUAGUCCACGCCGUAAACGAUGUCGACUUGGAGGUUGUUCCCUUGAGGAGUGGCUUCCGGAGCUAACGCGUUAAGUCGACCGCCUGGGGAGUACGGCCGCAAGGUUAAAACUCAAAUGAAUUGACGGGGGCCCGCACAAGCGGUGGAGCAUGUGGUUUAAUUCGAUGCAACGCGAAGAACCUUACCUACUCUUGACAUCCAGAGAACUUUCCAGAGAUGGAUUGGUGCCUUCGGGAACUCUGAGACAGGUGCUGCAUGGCUGUCGUCAGCUCGUGUUGUGAAAUGUUGGGUUAAGUCCCGCAACGAGCGCAACCCUUAUCCUUUGUUGCCAGCGGUUUAGGCCGGGAACUCAAAGGAGACUGCCAGUGAUAAACUGGAGGAAGGUGGGGAUGACGUCAAGUCAUCAUGGCCCUUACGAGUAGGGCUACACACGUGCUACAAUGGCGCAUACAAAGAGAAGCGACCUCGCGAGAGCAAGCGGACCUCAUAAAGUGCGUCGUAGUCCGGAUUGGAGU
rnacentral:rRNA from 1 species